UACGUAGGGGGCUAGCGUUGUCCGGAAUCAUUGGGCGUAAAGCGCGCGUAGGCGGCCCGGUAAGUCCGCUGUGAAAGUCAAAGGCUCAACCUUUGAAUGUCAGCGGAUACUGCCGGGCUAGAGUCCGGAAGAGGCGAGUGGAACUCCUGGUGUAGCGGUGAAAUGCGCAGAUAUCAGGAGGAACACCAAUGGCGAAGGCAGCUCGCUGGGACGGUACUGACGCUGAGACGCGAAAGCGUGGGGAGCAAACAGG
rnacentral:rRNA from 1 species